ACGUACUACCCUAACAACACACAACAUUCCAGGAAUGUACUACCAAAGUUCUAUCAAUAUUUGAAUGUCCUGGACAUUUAGGGAACAUUCGGUGAACAUCUGAUUAAAUUAUUCGUGGAAUGUUACCAUAAGACAUUCUGUGAACAUACUACCAAUGUUCCUUUUGUUAAUAUGUUCAUUUUCAAACUCACGGCGCAUGUAUUUGUGCAUGGUGCUUAGAGAGGGCAUCACGUGACUAAAAACGACCAAUGACCUCACUUCAGACUUCGGUGCUUCGGCCAUCUUGACAUGCAUCUUGGCCUUGGCCACCUUGCCGUGCGUGAUCGUUGUUUGUUUUUAUUUGUGCUUUUUAAGAAUAUUUUUUAAUUCGGAUACUUUUAUAAUAACUUUAAUAGUAUUAUUAAUAUAGUGCAUAAAAUCAGUUGGAGUAGCAGAAGCAAUGUAGAUAAAAAAUCUGCAGGAAUAAUGUUUCAAAGCUUUCCAGAAGAUCCUGCGAAGAAGGCAUGAAGUAUUGAUCAGAUUUGUUAAUAGAGCAGUAUGUUCAAAACAUUUUUUAGAAAAAGAUAUUGACAGAACUUCACUUUCAACCGUGAACUUCACUUUCAACCGUUUGAGAGACUGUGCUGUUCCAAUAGCUUAUAUCACACAGAAUCAGCUGAGAGAAGUGGUCUACAAAAAACCAGGAAGGAAAUGGAAUAUGUGGCUAUGAAAGGCAAAAGAAAGGUUUACAAAGCAAAUGUGACACAUUUUUUAUAGGAAUAUCAGUAAAUUACAUUAAAAAAAUGUAUGAAAAAAUUUUUUGCAAUAAAAAUGUUUAUAUUUA